rnacentral:lncRNA from 1 species
UCUGAGCGCAGAACUCAAAGCAGUUCCUUAGCUUCUUCCUUUUGUUUCUCUAAUUGUCUUAAAAUUCCUCUCGUUCCCUUAUUCCUAUAAACUAGAAAUUCAUAGUUCUAUCGACUAGAAAUUUUGGGUCAAGUGGUAUCAGAGCACCAGAUCCGAGAGGGUGACGGUGGUUUAUGGUCUCAACUCGCAACCAACGCAAAGCUUCUGGAGAAGAACUUUAGGUCCUUUGCUCGUUAUGACACGAGAAAACAAACAGGAUACAUCUAGUGAUGGUGAUCGCAUCACUAAACUUGAGCAACAAGUAGAAAACUUGUCCGCACCAAUCCUUAAACUCAUGGAGAGUUUGAAGACUAGAAAAUCUUCACGUUUAUCAACUUCAUACGAGCCUGAUCAAAGGCUCAAGAAAAAGGUUGUUGAGGAUAGCGAAGAUGAAGACGACACACAAGCUGAUCCAACGAAAAAAUGAAGCUAAAUCAGGUGACAAUAAAAAUUCUAUUGAUACCUUAAAGAUUGAUUUUAAGGUUGACAUCCCUAUAUAUAAAGGAGAUGUUGAUCCUGAAAAGCUAGAUAACUGGAUAGACACAUUAGAAACUUAUUUCACAGUUUAUAGUUAUUCUAAUGGGCAAAAAAUAAAAUUUGCGAGUUUGAAACUUUCAAGCCAUGCCCUUACAUGGUGGAAGUCCUAUUAGAGACGGUAUGAUGUCACAGAAUUGACUUGGAAGAACUUCAAAAAGCUUUUGAGAAAAAAAUUUUAUCCUGUUGGCUAUGAAGAUGAAAGAUGGUAUAAGUGGCAACACUUCAGACAAAGAUUUGGGCAGCCUGUACAAGAGUAUACAACAAAGUUCCACAACCAAGCUAUGGUUCUGGACAUUAACAUCGAUGACUGUGACGUUUUCAUGAAGUAUACCAAAGGUCAUGCCUACUACAUACGGAAAGAACUAAAAUUGUUCACCAUAGAUACUAUUGAAGAAGCUACUGUGAAGGCCAUUGCCAUUGAGGCAAAAAAAUGAAAGAACUGACAAGAAGGAUGACAGAUCAAAACCUGUCAACAAAACUAACUGGCAAAAAAAGGGGAAGCAGAGCAAGGAAGGUCCGACACAGAAGGUCUACUGUGAUCACUGUCAAACCAACAGACAUGCCAACGACAAGUGUUGGAUACUCCAUCCUGAGUUGCG